GCGGAUAUAUAUUAAGGGUAAAUUAUCUGCCUUCCAAGCAGAGGAUAUGGGUUCGAUUCCCGUUAUCCGCA
rnacentral:tRNA from 1 species